UUUUUANAAAGCAAGACACUGAAAAUGUCUAGAUGGGCAUUAUUGCCCCAUCAACA
rnacentral:tRNA from 1 species